AGGACGAACGCUGGCGGCGUGCUUAACACAUGCAAGUCGAACGGAAAGGCCCUUCGGGGUACUCGAGUGGCGAACGGGUGAGUAACACGUGGGUGAUCUGCCCCGCACUUUGGGAUAAGCCUGGGAAACUGGGUCUAAUACCGAAUAGGACCAUGGGAUGCAUGUCCUGUGGUGGAAAGCUUUUGCGGUGUGGGAUGGGCCCGCGGCCUAUCAGCUUGUUGGUGGGGUUAAGGCCUACCAAGGCGACGACGGGUAGCCGGCCUGAGAGGGUGUCCGGCCACACUGGGACUGAGAUACGGCCCAGACUCCUACGGGAGGCAGCAGUGGGAAUAUUGCACAAUGGGCGCAAGCCUGAUGCAGCGACGCCGCGUGGGGAUGACGGCCUUCGGUUGUAAACCUCUUCAGUAGGGACGAAGCGCAAGUGACGGUACCUACAGAAGAAGCACCGGCCAACUACGUGCCAGCAGCCGC
rnacentral:rRNA from 1 species